GUGUCAGCCGCCGCGGUAAUACGGAGGGUGCAAGCGUUGUUCGGAAUUACUGGGCGUAAAGCGCGCGUAGGCGGUUUGAUAAGUUGGAAGUGAAAUCCCGGGGCUUAACUCCGGAAUUGCUUUCAAAACUAUCAAGCUAGAGUAUGGUAGGGGACAGUGGAAUUCCUAGUGUAGAGGUGAGAUUCGUAGAUAUUAGGAGGAACACCAGUGGCGAAAGCGACUGUCUGGGCCAUUACUGACGCUGAGGCGCGAAAGCGUGGGGAGCAAACAGGAUUAGAAACCCCGGUAGUCC
rnacentral:rRNA from 1 species